GUAUAUUUCUCCUUACUGCUGUUAAGAUGGAUUACAAAGGAGCUGGCUCUUCUGAACACUCGAGUUCAUCACAAAGCCCAGACACAGGUGGAUCCGAUUGGCUCUCAGGCCCAAACAAUCCACCAUGAUCCAACCAAGCACUCACUCUGGGAACUGAGCUGUUGGCACAGUUUGGACACCUCCUCUUUACCAGGAGACCCGAACACUGAACAAAGCAGGAGAAUUAUAUAGCCAUGAACAUCAGGUGCUUUAAAUAUUAAUAAUAAAUCUUAUUUAAAGCACUUGAGAAAAAUGCUCUGGAUUUAUU